rnacentral:rRNA from 1 species
UUGAACGCUGGCGGCAUGCCUUACACAUGCAAGUCGAACGGCAGCACGGGUGCUUGCACCUGGUGGCGCGUGGCGAACGGGUGAGUAAUACAUCGGAACAUGUCCUGUAGUGGGGGAUAGCCCGGCGAAAGCCGGAUUAAUACCGCAUACGAUCCACGGAUGAAAGCGGGGGACCUUCGGGCCUCGCGCUAUAGGGUUGGCCGAUGGCUGAUUAGCUAGUUGGUGGGGUAAAGGCCUACCAAGGCGACGAUCAGUAGCUGGUCUGAGAGGACGACCAGCCACACUGGGACUGAGACACGGCCCAGACUCCUACGGGAGGCAGCAGUGGGGAAUUUUGGACAAUGGGCGAAAGCCUGAUCCAGCAAUGCCGCGUGUGUGAAGAAGGCCUUCGGGUUGUAAAGCACUUUUGUCCGGAAAGAAAUCCUUGACUCUAAUACAGUCGGGGGAUGACGGUACCGGAAGAAUAAGCACCGGCUAACUACGUG